UACAGAGGGUGCGAGCGUUGUCCGGAAUCACUGGGCGUAAAGGGCGCGUAGGCGGCCUGAUAAGUAGGGGGUGAAAUCCUGUGGCUUAACUGCAGGGCUGCCUCCUAGACUGUUAGGCUCGAGCACGGUAGAGGCAGAUGGAAUUCCCGGUGUAGCGGUGGAAUGCGUAGAGAUCGGGAAGAACAUCGGUGGCGAAGGCGGUCUGCUGGGCCGUUGCUGACGCUGAGGCACGAACG
rnacentral:rRNA from 1 species